rnacentral:misc_RNA from 1 species
AACGGUCUAUACCUGCGGUACCUGCGGAGGGAUCAUUACUGAAUUGAUUUUGGGGAUGUUGCUGGUCUCUUGAGGCAAUGGUGCACUCCUCAAACAUUUCACAAUUUCCAUCUUACCCAUGUGCACAUCCUGUAGGUGGUCUCCCAACCCACCCUCCAAGGAAAGGGGGGGAGUGUGUGGGUCUGGUCUCCUAUGUAUUUCCUUGCCAACAUCACACGUUUUGACUGAAUGAAUCCUGUG